GCCCAGACUCCUACGGGAGGCAGCAGUGGGGAAUAUUGCACAAUGGGGGGAACCCUGAUGCAGCGACGCCGCGUGGGUGAAGGAGCACCUCGGUGCGUAAGGCCCUCUCGGCAGGGAAGAAGCAAGACGGUACCUGACUAAGAAGCCCCGGCUAACUACGUGCCAGCAGCCGCGGGAAUACGUAGGGGGCGAGCGUUAUCCGGAUUCACUGGGUGUAAAGGGAGCGUAGACGGCCAUGCAAGCCAGGGGUGAAAGCCCGGGGCCCAACCCCGGGACUGCCCUUGGAACUGUGCGGCUAGAGUGCGGGAGGGGCAGGCGGAAUUCCUGGUGUAGCGGUGAAAUGCGUAGAUAUCAGGAGGAACACCGGCGGCGAAGGCGGCCUGCUGGACCGCGACUGACGUUGAGGCUCGAAAGCGUGGGGAGCGAACAGGAUUAGAUACCCGUGUAU
rnacentral:rRNA from 1 species